rnacentral:misc_RNA from 1 species
GAUGAAGAACGCAGCGAAAUGCGAUAAGUAAUGUGAAUUGCAGAAUUCAGUGAAUCAUCGAAUCUUUGAACGCAUCUUGCGCCCUUUGGUAUUCCGAAGGGCAUGCCUGUUCGAGCGUCAUUAUCACCCCUCAAGCCCUCGGCUUGGUGUUGGACGGUUUGGUGGAGGCCCCCUCGGGGGCUCCUGCCCCUCCCAAAGACAAUGACGGCGGCCUCGUUGGACCCCCGGUACACUGAGUUCUUCACGGGACACGUAUCGGACACAUGGGUUUACGGGACACGGUCUGCCUCCCCUCAGGGAGAAUCUUUCUAAGGUUGACCUCGGAUCAGGUAGGGAUACCCGCUGAACUUAAGCAUAUCAAUAAGCGGAGGA